UGGGGAAUAUUGCACAAUGGGGGAAACCCUGAUGCAGCGACGCCGCGUGAAGGAAGAAGUAUCUCGGUAUGUAAACUUCUAUCAGCAGGGAAGAUAGUGACGGUACCUGACUAAGAAGCCCCGGCUAACUACGUGCCAGCAGCCGCGGUAAUACGUAGGGGGCAAGCGUUAUCCGGAUUUACUGGGUGUAAAGGGAGCGUAGACGGUGUGGCAAGUCUGAUGUGAAAGGCAUGGGCUCAACCUGUGGACUGCAUUGGAAACUGUCAUACUUGAGUGCCGGAGGGGUAAGCGGAAUUCCUAGUGUAGCGGUGAAAUGCGUAGAUAUAAGGAGGAACACCAGUGGCGAAGGCGGCUUACUGGACGGUAACUGACGUUGAGGCUCGAAAGCGUGGGGAGCAAACAGG
rnacentral:rRNA from 1 species